CAAUUUUAUUGCAGAUGAGAAUACAAUACUAAUUUUGCGUUCAUCGAUGAUUGUUUUCACACGCUUGAGACCGAUAGCGAACAAGUACCGUGAGGGAAAGUUGAAAAGCACUCUGAAUAGAGAGUCAAAUAGUACGUGAAACUGCCUAGGGGACGCAAACCCGUUGAACUCAAUGAUCCGGGCGGCGAUAUUCAGCGGUGGGCCUCCGGGCCUACCGUGCACUUAUCGAUCCGCAGCAAACGGACAUCGCGAUCCAUUGCGCAUCUGCGUGAGCAUAUCAUUCCGGCAAUAGGCCCCUGGCUCGUGGUGGACGGCUCCCUAGUAGGGGCGGACUCGCGUGUAGGCUUUAAAAUGUUAACAUCCAUUUUUAGAUGUUAAGGAUUUCUCAAACAAACGAACGUAACAAAAAUACCGUAACGGUGAUAUUCUUGGUUAAAUCUUUUGGAAUGGCAAUCUGCUAUUGUAUAUAUUGAAUUUUUAAUGCAGCUGCCAAUCUAAGUCAUUUACAGUAGAUGGGAAUAGUGAAUUUUAUAAUUCUGAAUUAUUCUAGAUAUCUGGAUGUCUAGAAAGGAAGAAAGUGCUCUUCCAACAAAAUGUUAGCUGCAUCUAAACUCUAAACUGAGCAUUAAGAUUCUAUCUAUUAAGAUAGAUUAAUCUACAAUGUCAUCAUCAGUAAGAGGUAGCUGGUGGUUUACUUGACUUAAGGUCUUCUUUCUUGGCCUUACGACCUAUAAGGUCAUGCCUGCCUUUUCUGGCUUACUAGACUUAUUGAUACUGCUGCAUAGUUGAAUAGCCAAGUCCACCCUGUGGGGUGAACGGCUCAGAUGAGAUUUAAGCCCGGUCCUGCCGUGAGAAGACCGGAACCGCUAUGGCAUCUACCAUCUAGCUUCUCCAAUAGCUGGUGGUCUUAUCCGUUAAUCAAGUAGUAUCAACUAGAGUAAACCUCGAAUCGA
rnacentral:ncRNA from 1 species